GCACUCACUUUGGCAGCACAUAUACUAAAAUUAGAAUGAUACAGAGCAGAUUAGCAUGGCCCUUGUGCAAGGCUGACAUGCAAAUUCAUUAUGCAUUCCAUAUUUUU
rnacentral:snRNA from 1 species